ensembl:lncRNA
CUUCUCCCAUGAAAAACAGGACAUACAUAGGAACAGCACCACACUGGGGAGGAAAAUGUUCAAGUGAGAUGAGACCAUGUCUUACUUAAAAUGUAGGCAGCCCAGCUCUUCCUCGGAGCCCCUUUUCCGGGGACUGAUGCUUCCUGGAUGGAAAUGCCUCUGAAGAACAUCACUUUUCUUACCUUCAGAGUACAUAUAUAUAUAUCUAUAUGCAUAUAUAUAGAUAAAUAAUAAUUAGGCAGCCCUUCUGUUUUCUGUGUCCACAAGCUCCUCUUGCCAAACUCAUCUGAUGAAGAAACAAAUUGACACUGGAAACAUUCCUCUGACCACCCUGCUUCAUGUACUGCGUGCGGCACAUCAGCGCAGGAGGACUCCCUGUUUCUAAAAUUGAGCUGUCUCUUUAUUAACAGACUCACUUACCAGGACACCGAGCCAGCAAAUCAGAUGCACACAACUCGCCUGUCUGUGCUGCCUCCAAGCUCUGCCUUCCUGCAACAUGUGCUCUUCUCUCCAAGGUCAGAGCAGCACUAGAUGGUAGGACUGAUGAAGCCAAAAGGCCAGCAGAGGUGAGGCCCUUCCAGGCAAGCAUGUGCAAGCCAGAGGAUGGAGCUGAGGAAGAGGACGUCUCUGUGAAGCAACAACUGAACGGUGGCCUCACAGGGAGAACAGCAGCAGUAGAGUAGUGUCAACCCUGAAGAGAUCAAAUUGCCUCAGUUUCAACAAUAUAUAUUUAUAUGUUUGUCAGUAAAGAAAUUGUACGUUCUCCUGUGAAUGAAAAAAUGCAUACUUUUAACAAAAUCUCAGCAUGGCUUGCACAGCACCUUAAAAAAACAAAGCCUGUGUUUAAAUGAGGAUACUCACAGAGCCAAGGUACAUGGACUGUGAGGAAAAAGGAGCUUAGCCUGUUACAGUACUUAAAUACUGAAUCAUUUCCAGUAUUCUGUGCCAGAUAAUCAUUCAAAUGUAAGUUGUACCAGUAUGAUCUGAUACGUCAAGAAACAAGCAAGUUACAUCAGUAGUCUUGAUCUUAUCUGAACACAAAACCUGUGUCUCUUUUUUUUUGUGUUCACUGCAUCAUUUCCCAAAGUUUUUUCUCAUCUCCCCUUCCCAGAUGAACUUCUCCAUUCAUUGUCUGCUAAUUCCUCUAUACAAUUAGCAUACCCCAGUAUAACUCCUUCAGUUCAUUGUUUGCUGCCUGAGCACAACCCCAGAAUUUGUUUAGUUGUCCUUUGAGUAGCCUGAAGGCUAUUUCAGUCACUAAGAGAGUGAUUCGAUUGCUUAACUUAGGUACCUGAUGGUAUUUGAGAAGCUCUGGGGUAUCUAAGCUGCCCAUCAGAGACCAAUAACACAGACUCUGUGGGAGUCCUACACACUUGGCAGGUAGAGACGAGGAUGGGUGACCUUUGCUUCAUUUGAAGUUAUGCAAGAUGCCUAUAUUUGGGUAACUGAACUGAGCCUCAACAGCUGAUUCUUAUGUGUAUUAUUGUACUUUUCAGUUUAACUAUAAACCAAUGUUUUCAUGCCUAAUGCUGUAAAUUUCUUCCUGCAAUCUGUUUUCUGAAAAGCAAUUAACAGGUAAUUAUACUCUACUUCAUCUUUAGCUCGUGUAUGGGAAACUCAAGCACAGGGAGUUAGGAUAACAUUCAGGAAUAAACUGUUAUUUACAAAUUUAUUCA